AACGCACCUUGCGCUCCUUGGUAUUCCGAGGAGCAUGCCUGUUUGAGUGUCAUUAAAUUCUCAACCUUUAUCAACUUUUGUUGAUAAUGGCUUGGAUAUGGGGGUUUAUUUUGCUGGCUUCUUUACAGAUGGUCAGCUCCCCUUAAAUGCAUUAGCCGGUGCCCCGCGUGGACUGUCUAUUGGUGUGAUAAUUAUCUACGCCGUGGACAUCUGCAAUCAUAUGGGUUUGCACUGCUUCCAACUGUCUGUUGAAUCAGACAAUACAUGACAAUUUGACCUCAAAUCAGGUAGGACUACCCGCUGAACUUAA
rnacentral:misc_RNA from 1 species